rnacentral:rRNA from 1 species
UAGUAGCGGCGAGCGAAGCGGGAAGAGCUCAAAUUUAUAAUCUGGCACCUUCGGUGUCCGAGUUGUAAUCUCUAGAAAUGUUUUCCGCGUUGGACCGCACACAAGUCUGUUGGAAUACAGCGGCAUAGUGGUGAGACCCCCGUAUAUGGUGCGGACGCCCAGCGCUUUGUGAUACAUUUUCGAAGAGUCGAGUUGUUUGGGAAUGCAGCUCAAAUUGGGUGGUAAAUUCCAUCUAAAGCUAAAUAUUGGCGAGAGACCGAUAGCGAACAAGUACCGUGAGGGAAAGAUGAAAAGCACUUUGGAAAGAGAGUUAACAGUACGUGAAAUUGUUGGAAGGGAAACGCUUGAAGUCAGACUUGCUUGCCGAGCAAUCGGUUUGCAGGCCAGCAUCAGUUUUCCGGGAUGGAUAAUGGUAGAGAGAAGGUAGCAGUUUCGGCUGUGUUAUAGCUCUCUGCUGGAUACAUCUUGGGGGACUGAGGAACGCAGUGUGCCUUUUGGCGGGGGUUUCGACCUCUUCACACUUAGGAUGCUGGUGGAAUGGCUUUAAACGACCCGUCUUGAAACACGGACCA